CCGCACUCGUGGACUGUGACGUCUUUGAGAGGUUUAUCUCGUCCGUCUGUCUUGGUGGCCUCGAUCUUUCUCACGACAUCCUUAAAGACAGCAGGACAUGACACAAAAUGAACACGAUCACUGAGGGCAGGAUCUCAACAAGUCAUACCAGAUGGUGGAAGACAUUCAGUGGGUGGAGAACCGACAAGUCCAGUCAAGUCCAGCUUCCCCAUGAGAAGAUCCAAUGUGUUGCCUGGGUUCACAGGUGUACUAUGGGAGAAUAAUAGAAUGUCCUGCCUAAAAAGAGACAAAAGGGCUGUUUUUUGUCCAGAGACGGACCCUCUGUAUUAAGGAAUCUAUAGAGACUGCUGCUGCUGUCCUGGAACCCUCCUGGUUUACUGGCCUAACACAGAACUUAAGUAAAUGGGUUACCGAGUGGUCGAUUCAAGGGACUGUACAAUUUCCCCACAACAUUAAAGGCAGCAGCUUUAUCCUGAAUUGAUGCCAUGCAUUCUUUCGCUUUGUGCAGGUUUCAGACUCAAAAUUCAUUCAUCGGUUUCACUCGUUAUUCAUUACCUGCUUUGUCCAUCUGAUUGGCUAGCAGUAAACUAAUCAAAUUGGGUGCGAAAUAAAUAAAUAAAACCAAACAAACAAUACCAAGAUGUAACACGAGAUGGCAGCAAAGUAUGUAAAAAUUACAGAGGGAACGUUUGGCUGUUUGGAACAGCACACUACCAUUCUACUAUUUCUGCAGGAUAAAGUAUGUAUAGUAUGUGACGAGGAGGAGGGCGUUGCCGGGGACGGAAUCAGCGGGAGAGCGAGUUACAGGGCAGCCGGAGACGCCGGUUCGAGAGAGAGACGCACGCGCCGCGUUCUCUCUCUCUCUCUCUCUCUCUCUCUCUGUGUGUGUGUGUGUGUGUGAACUGUUACUGUGCAUAGUAAUCAGUGUACAGUAGUGUGGGUUGCAGUUUCAGCGCAGUUGUCACAAAUGCUGCAUAGAGGGGAUUGUUGCAUUGUUUCAUUUUAUUCCAAAUUGUUCUGCACCAAGUGAAGUUUCAGCAAAUAAACAGCAAGGCAAUGCUAUCCCCCCUGCUCUAGAGU